rnacentral:rRNA from 1 species
GUGAACCUGCGGAAGGAUCAUUGUUGAGAGAGCAUAACGAACGAUGGAUGGUUGCGAAUGUGUGAAUGCGUCCCUUUCCUCGGCCCACCCACGUCAGUGGGCGGACGAUUGACCGUAAGCUCGGUGCGAUCAGCACUAAGGAACAAUGAACUCAGAAGCGGAGGGCCCCUUGGCGUGCGCAGGGGAGCCCAAUGCGUCGGAGAUUCCUCGGAAUCAAUCAAAUGACUCUCGGCAAUGGAUAUCUCGGCUCUUGCAUCGAUGAAGAACGUAGUGAAAUGCGAUACUUGGUGUGAAUUGCAGAAUCUCGUGAACCAUUGAGUCUUUGAACGCAAGUUGUGCCCGAGGCCUUGUGGCCGAGGGCACGCCUGCUUGGGUGUCAUGGCACCGUCGCCUCUGCUCCAUGCAAACAGCUGUUCGUUGGUGUCGAGCGCGGAAAUUGGCCCCGUGUGCCCUCGGGGGCACAGUCGGCUGAAGAGCGGGUAGUCGCCAGUCGUCGGGCACGAUGGGUGUUGGUCGCCGUGAGCGGGAACAGAACGUCGUGCCCGUCGUUUCGGGACGAGCCCUCAAUCAAGAGACCCUGUGUGAUUGUGUCCAUCAAUCAACUUGUGGCCCCAAGUC